GACGAACGCUGGCGGCGUGCCUAAUACAUGCAAGUAGAACGCUGAAGAGAGGAGCUUGCUCUUCUUGGAUGAGUUGCGAACGGGUGAGUAACGCGUAGGUAACCUGCCUUGUAGCGGGGGAUAACUAUUGGAAACGAUAGCUAAUACCGCAUAACAAUGGAUGACACAUGUCAUUUAUUUGAAAGGGGCAAUUGUUCCACUACAAGAUGGACCUGCGUUGUAUUAGCUAGUAGGUGAGGUAAUGGCUCACCUAGGCGACAAUACAUAGCCGACCUGAGAGGGUGAUCGGCCACACUGGGACUGAGACACGGCCCAGACUCCUACGGGAGGCAGCAGUAGGGAAUCUUCGGCAAUGGGGGCAACCCUGACCGAGCAACGCCGCGUGAGUGAAGAAGGUUUUCGGAUCGUAAAGCUCUGUUGUAAGUCAAGAACGGGUGUGAGAGUGGAAAGUUCACACUGUGACGGUAGCUUACCAGAAAGGGACGGCUAACUACGUG
rnacentral:rRNA from 1 species